CAGUCGCCGCGGUAAUACGUAGGUGGCAAGCGUUGUCCGGAAUUAUUGGGCGUAAAGGGCUCGCAGGCGGUUUCUUAAGUCUGAUGUGAAAGCCUCCGGCUCAACCGGGGAGGGUCAUUGGAAACUGGGAAACUUGAGUGCAGAAGAGGAGAGUGGAAUUCCACGUGUAGCGGUGAAAUGCGUAGAGAUGUGGAGGAACACCAGUGGCGAAGGCGACUCUCUGGUCUGUAACUGACGCUGAGGAGCGAAAGCGUGGGGAGCGAACAGGAUUAGAUACCCCGGUAGUCCCUGUCUCUUAUAC
rnacentral:rRNA from 1 species